rnacentral:misc_RNA from 1 species
AGUCAGUACAGUUACCGAUGUCAGGUAGACACUGCGGAAGGAUCAUUAAAGAGUUAGGGUCCUAGUGGCCCAACCUCCAACCCUCUGUUGUUAAAACUACCUUGUUGCUUUGGCGGGACCGUUCGGUCUCCGAGCGCGUUAACCUUCGGGUUGGCGAGCGCCCGCCAGAGUCCAACCAAACUCUUGUAUUAAACCAGUCGUCUGAGUAUAAAAUUUUAAUUAAAUUAAAA